CACGGGGUUGCGAGCGUUGUCCGGAAUUACUAGGCGUAAAGGGCAGGCAGGCGGAUCCAUAAGUUUAUCGUUUAAGGCGUCGGCUUAACCGGCGUAGGGCGGUAGAUACUGUGGAUCUGGAAUGCGGUUGGGGAAGACAGAAUUCCUGGUGUAGCGGUGGAAUGCGCAGAGAUCAGGAGGAAUACCGGUGGCGAAGGCGACUUGCUGGGCAGCAACUGACGCUGAGGCGCGAAAGCCAGGGGAGCAAACGGGAUUAGAUACCCUGGUAGUCCCU
rnacentral:rRNA from 1 species